rnacentral:rRNA from 1 species
AGUUGUAAUUUGUAGAGGGAGUUUCGGGCGCUACGCCGGCCUAAGUUCCUUGGAACAGGGCGUCAUAGAGGGUGAGAAUCCCGUACGUGGCCGGCGAUCAAGCCCAUGUGAAGCCCCUUCGACGAGUCGAGUUGUUUGGGAAUGCAGCUCAAAACGGGUGGUAAAUUCCAUCUAAAGCUAAAUACCGGCCAGAGACCGAUAGCGCACAAGUAGAGUGAUCGAAAGAUGAAAAGCACUUUGGAAAGAGAGUUAAACAGUACGUGAAAUUGUUGAAAGGGAAGCGCUUGCGGCCAGACUUGCCCGGGGGCGAUCCGCCUCCCUUCGGGGUGGUGCACUCGCCCACGGUCAGGCCAGCAUCGGUUUCGGCGGCCGGACAAAGGCUUCGGGAACGUGGCUCCCUCCGGGGAGUGUUACAGCCCGGGGUGCAAUGCGGCCAGCCGGGACCGAGGACCGCGCUUCGGCUAGGAUGCUGGCGUAAUGGCCGUAAGCGACCCGUCUUGAAACACGGACCAAGGAGUCUAACAUCCAUGCGAGUGUUUGGGUGUCAAACCCAUGCGCGGAAUGAAAGUGAACGGAGGUGGGAACCCCUUCCGGGGCGCACCAUCGACCGAUCCUGAUGUCUUCGGAUGGAUUUGAGUAGGAGCAUGGCUGUUGGGACCCGAAAGAUGGUGAACUAUGCCUGAAUAGGGUGAAGCCAGAGGAAACUCUGGUGGAGGCUCGCAGCGGUUCUGACGUGCAAAUCGAUCGUCAAAUUUGGGUAUAGGGGCGAAAGACUAAUCGAACCA